ACGAAGGCUUCGGCCUUAGUGGCGCACGGGUGCGUAACGCGUGGGAAUCUGCCCUUAGGUUCGGAAUAACAGCUGGAAACGGCUGCUAAUACCGGAUGAUAUCGCGAGAUCAAAGAUUUAUCGCCUGAGGAUGAGCCCGCGUUGGAUUAGGUAGUUGGUGGGGUAAAGGCCUACCAAGCCGACGAUCCAUAGCUGGUCUGAGAGGAUGAUCAGCCACACUGGGACUGAGACACGGCCCAGACUCCUACGGGAGGCAGCAGUGGGGAAUAUUGGACAAUGGGCGAAAGCCUGAUCCAGCAAUGCCGCGUGAGUGAUGAAGGCCCUAGGGUUGUAAAGCUCUUUUACCCGGGAAGAUAAUGACUGUACCGGGAGAAUAAGCCCCGGCUAACUCCGUGCCAGCAGCCGCGGUAAUACGGAGGGGGCUAGCGUUGUUCGGAAUUACUGGGCGUAAAGCGCACGUAGGCGGCUUUGUAAGUCAGAGGUGAAAGCCUGGAGCUCAACUCCAGAACUGCCUUUGAGACUGCAUCGCUUGAAUCCAGGAGAGGUCAGUGGAAUUCCGAGUGUAGAGGUGAAAUUCGUAGAUAUUCGGAAGAACACCAGUGGCGAAGGCGGCUGACUGGACUGGUAUUGACGCUGAGGUGCGAAAGCGUGGGG
rnacentral:rRNA from 1 species